UUUCUUUCCAGUCUCAUCUUGCUGACCAAGAACACAACCCAUAAUCUUAUCAAGCACAAUCAAAUACAUGAUCAACGAUCUUCCUUCAACAGGUGGAGACAAAAUCGGAGGUUCAAGCAAAUAUUCCUUGAUACUGUCAAAAGCUUUCUGGAAAUCUUCGGUCCAAUCACAAGACUGAUCUUUCCGAAGAAGCUUGAAUCUAGGCGCACACGUGGCAGUCAUGUGUGAAAUAA
rnacentral:lncRNA from 1 species